GUUUUUAAAAGUGUGCGCAGGCGGGCUCUGUAAGUCAGAUGUGAAAUCCCCCGGGCUUAACCUGGGAACUGCGUUUGAAACUGCAGAGCUAGAGUGCGGCAGAGGGAGGUGGAAUUCCAUGUGUAGCAGUGAAAUGCGUAGAGAUAUGGAAGAACAUCGAUGGCGGAGGCAACCUCCUGGGCUAGCAAACUGACGCUCAUGCACGAAAGCGUGGGGAGCAAACAGGAUUAGAUACCCUGGUAGUCCACGCCCUAAACUAUGUCAACUAGUUGUCGGGUCUUAAUAGACUUGGUAACGUAGCUAACGCGUGAAGUUGACCGCCUGGGGAGUACGGUCGCAAGAUUAAAACU
rnacentral:rRNA from 1 species